rnacentral:rRNA from 1 species
GAUGAACGCUGGCGGCGUGCUUAACACAUGCAAGUCGAACGGAAAGGCUCCUGCUUGCAGGGGUACUCGAGUGGCGAACGGGUGAGUAACACGUGGGUGAUCUGCCCUGCACUUCGGGAUAAGCCUGGGAAACUGGGUCUAAUACCGGAUAGGACCACAUUUUGGAUGGUGUGGUGGAAAGUUUUUCGGUGUGGGAUGAGCUCGCGGCCUAUCAGCUUGUUGGUGGGGUAAUGGCCUACCAAGGCGUCGACGGGUAGCCGGCCUGAGAGGGUGUACGGCCACAUUGGGACUGAGAUACGGCCCAGACUCCGACGGGAGGCAGCAGUGGGGAAUAUUGCACAAUGGGCGCAAGCCUGAUGCAGCGACGCCGCGUGGGGGAUGACGGCCUUCGGGUUGUAAACUCCUGUCGCUAGGGACGAAGCGUUUUUGUGACGGUACCUGGAGAAGAAGCACCGGCUAACUACGUG